GUAAUUUGUAGAUGACGUUGCAGUGAUAACGUACCGGUACGUAAGAGAUGACACGAAUAAGUUUUGGGGUUGAAUUGUAAUGUGUAACAUAGGAAACCCAAAAACGUUAAAAAGGCAAAGAUGAUCCUGUUCAGUGACUUCAUAAUUUGUGAUUCAUAAAUGUACGGAACGUGUCUAGAAUCUU